UCCCUGGUGGCUCAGACGGUAAAGUGUCUGUGUACAAUGCAGGAGACCCGGGUUCGAUCCCUGGGUUGGGAA
rnacentral:tRNA from 1 species